rnacentral:rRNA from 1 species
AUGGUCUCAGAACAGCUUCAUCAAUAUGAGUUGAAGCAAAGCAAGAAGAAGUUGAGGUUUGAAAUUGAGUCGAAAGAGUUUGUGGAGAAGGAGAAGCAGAGGAAAGGUGCAGAUGGUGCCAAGGGUGGCAAAUUUGACAAGGUGAAGCAACCUUCUUUGCAGAAGAAGAGGCUGAGUACUGUUGCUGAGGAAGGUGGCACACAUUGGCGGAGUCCACGUGUUGCUAGCAUGAAGAAGAAUCUUGGCAAGAGAACUGCUCAAGCUGGUGGAAAUGAUGAUCCUCAGCGCAAGCGACUACAUAUCACUGAAGGUCCCAACUCUGAUGAUGACGACUUUGUGCUUGCUGAUUAUGUGAAGGGUGUUCAUCCUUGUAGACGCAAAGACUGUGGUUCAUCU